rnacentral:rRNA from 1 species
UACGUAGGCAGCAAGCGUUGUUCGGAUUCAUUGGGCGUAAAGGGUGCGUAGGCGGCGCGGUAAGUCGGGUGUGAAAUCUCGGAGCUUAACUCCGAAACUGCAUUCGAUACUGCCGUGCUUGAGGACUGGAGAGGAGACUGGAAUUUACGGUGUAGCGGUGAAAUGCGUAGAUAUCGUAAGGAAGACCAGUGGCGAAGGCGGGUCUCUGGACAGUUCCUGACGCUGAGGCACGAAGGCCAGAGGAGCAAACGGG